UAAAAAAAAAUGAAACAAUGUAAAAACACAGUGAAAAGGCCCAUGGAAUCCUAAGAACAGGAAAAACAUUUGAAAGGAUUAGGUAGGGAAUGAGGGUGGAGGGGUGACAGGAUGGAAGGGCACUCUGCUGCAGUUUGGAGACUGGAGAAGGGCCCGGGUAGAAAGGAAUGGAUUUAUGAGGAUUUAUUACAGAAUCCACGUAUGAGAUGACCCCAUUAAUAAGUCGGACUUGGCGGGUGGUAGGUGAUACAGAUGGAGAGAAGCGGCCAGAUUGCUGCAAUCUUUAGAUGAUAGGAUAUGAGAAGGAAUAAGGAAGAGACAGGUGCCAAAGAGGACUCCUUGUAUUCUGGCUUGCUCCUCUGGUUGGUGAUAUUCACCAAGAAAAAUAGAACACUGAAAAAUGAUGUGGUUUGAGGGGACAAGCAGGCAUCUAGUUUGUGACACAUUGAGUCUCGAGGUGCUUCUGAAACUGGCUGUUAGAGAUAUGCCUAUCUGAAGCUAAAAUGAGAGCUCUGGAUUAGAAAUAAACAUUUGAUGAGUUACUAGCACACAGAUGGUAACUGAAGCUACGGGUGUGAAUGAGAAGGUCAUAUCUGUGCCUCAGCUUUCUCAUCUGCAAAAUGGGACAACAGCAACACUUCAUGUUUGCCAAUUGGGAUAGGUUAUAAUAACCUAUGUAACAAAUGUAAAUUACUUAGAAUCUUGCCUGGUAAGUCUUAAUCUCUCAAUAAAUGUAGAUAAUGAUCAUUUAUCCUAGUUGGCAAACAUUUUCUUAAAGGGCCAGAGUGUAAAUAUUUUAGGCUUUGAGGGCCGUGUGUUCUCUGCUGCAACUACUCAGAUCUGACACUGUAUCACAAAAGCAGCCGUAGAUACUAUGUAAAAGAAUGAGCAUGGCCGUGUUCCCAUAAGACUGUAUUUACAAAAACAGCACAGAGUGGAUAUGCAGGUUGCUGACCCCUCCUCUAUGCAGUUGCCUAGCUAGAAACAGAAGGGUGGUCCUUCAGACACAACCGCAUGAUCACCAAUGUCUGUCCAUUCUAGCUGCAAAUAUCCUGACAGUCGCCAUUUCUCCAGUCAUACUACAGCUCUCCAAGUAGUAAAGAGCUUUCCAGAAGCCUCUCUGCCUCCAGCCUUGCUUCCCUUUAAGCCAUUCUUAGCAUGGCAGCCAGAGAAAUCGUCUCGAAAUGCAGAUCUGAACCCCUCUCUUCUUGGCUGAAAAAUCUUGAAGGCUUUACAUCAUCCUUAUGACAAAAGAUUUUAGCAAGCUCCCCGACCCAUCCCAUAUUCUGGCCCCUCCCCCUGACUCUCCAGCUCUCCUUUUGCUUCUCUCCCUCUCUCCAGCCACACAUUUCACUUAUUGCAGUCCUUCCUUGUGACGUCAGGCCUUCUCACAGCUGGCCCUCCCCUGAAACCCUCCGCGCCAUUGCCAGGCUCUCUCAUCCAUCCUUUCUCCGUUUACACAUCACUUCCUCGGGGAGACAACCCUGGAUCCUAUCUAGGCUAUGUCUUAGGAAUUGGUGAACAUCUGGAUAACAGUUCCCAGAGAGGUUACAAGCUUUUUGAGAAAUCUUUUAAAGCCAGUUGUCCCUUCUACAAGGAUUGACAAUUAACAGUGGCUGACAUAAUCUGUAUAUCUCCUUAACCAGCCUCACAGAAAUUGCCACAAUCACAGCCAACUGAAAGAGAGCGAAGUGCGAGGCUGCACAGGUGACCCCUCCGAACAGUGGAGCAACCCCUUCCUCCCUUCAGGACACUGCUUAACGGUUGUGAUAGUGUGACCAUCUGACAGACUGGGCAGAGGGUGCCCAUGUCAAUCCAUACCUCAAAACAGGCAGGGGAGGGAGCUGCGAGCAGCUUUUAUCUCCGUUCACAAAUGCAGCUGUGAAAAAGCCCGAGGAGGCACAUCCUGUCCGCGGAGGUUAAACAGAAGACUGAAAAGAAAAGAAUGGUCACAAAGCCUGCUGGUCCUUCCUCCGUCCCCUUUCUGCCCACUGUCUUUGAGGAAUCAUCGGUUCACUCCAUACACACAUUUUUGUAAGAUACAGUCAGAAUCAUGAGC